rnacentral:lncRNA from 1 species
GUUCCAUCAGCUGCUUGCACCUUCCGCCCAGCGCCGGCUUUCCGCGCGACGAUCGCCGAGUUCCAUCUUCGCGUGGCCUCUGCGGCGCCCGAGCCCGCAAUGUCGGGCCCCAACGGGGACCUAGGCAUGCCGGUGGAUGCGGGCACGGAAGGCGAGAAUGACAGCUUCGGGGAAGCAGGUGACCUGGGAGGAGAGGGGUUGUUGCUAAGGCGACCUUUACUCUGCGGGGAGUACUGGCCUUAAGAUCUGGAAUCGGGCGGGGACGGGGGGCGUGGGAGGGCCUGAGGAGUUGGGCUCUGGAGUUGUCCCCACAGCCACCUCGGAGGCGAUGGCGAGCAAUAGCAAACAGAUCCCUGAGCGCUGCAGUACUGGAGAACUGUCGCUAACCAACCCUGGUGUCUGAAACUGAGGCAGCUUCAGAGCACCUUGUCAGUUUGGGAUUUGCUUCAGCCACUUUCCUCGCUAAGAGGGGGCGGUCAUGCAUGGCUCUGCAGGUGUUGGCCGGGUGGGCUCCCCACUAUGCUGAGUCAGCACCCCAGCCAUCUGGCUUUGCUGGUGACCUCCUUACUGAGUACUGUGCUUGGGUGCACAACACUGCCCAAGGACCUCAGGGGACGCAUCGGCCCACAGACAGCUUUUGCACGUUUGGGAACCUCAGUUUUCCCAUCUGCAAUAUUGGGCACAUUGGUGUCUUCUGUAUUGAAGUGUGUCAGAAUUUAAGGGAAAAUGGGAUAGAAAUGGUUAGCUUCUAAGAUUCCAGAGUACAAGUUCCUUCUGAAAGCCGGUUCUUGUUUGUUUGUUUUGAGUGUUGUCAAGUCUGGUGCCUUACCUAGAGGGCAGGACUUGAUUACUGUGCAAUAAGGAUGGGGUAUGCUUUUGUUUUCUUAUAAAAACUUUAUUAAGCUGUAGGUAACACACUAGAUUGUACCAUUUAAACUGUACAGUUCUGCAGUUUCAUAUAUUCACAGCAUAGUCCUUGUCACAACAGGUUCAGAAUAUUUUUGUCACCUGGGUUCUGCCCUUAAUAGAGGUUGUCGUCCAUUUGGAGGCAUAGUGGGCACUGUUGGACAAUAGUGACUGCUGGCAGCCACAGUGAGCAUCAUGAGGGGACUAGGUGAGGUGGUGGCAUAAUUGAAUGACAUUGGGGUGGGGAAGAGGCUGUCCCAGGACUGGAGCAAGGGCUAGGAAGUACCCAGGACGUAGGUGGAGCCUGCAGACAUCACCUCUCCUAGCCCUUCUGCUGGCCUGCCAGGAUGGAUGGGAACAGCUAGCUACCCAUUAAGUGCUUGGUGUGGCCUGACCCCGACUGAGCUCUCAGUGUACUGCAAUUGCAGAGUCCCCUACCCCACUCUAAUAAGGAGUGCUGGGCUAGAGCAGACCUGGGACUCAUGUAAGGGUCUCUGACCCUAGGUCUGAGUUUUGACCCUGUCACCAGAUGGAAUGAAGAUGGACUAGCAGCUUGAGAGGCUCUAGGCUGUGUGAAGGAUGCCCUCUGUGGGUCAUGGGAACUGUCCCUGAGAGGCAGCACAUACACACUCAUGCUCCAGUCGCCCUCCCUGGCCUCUUCCUUAAAACCACCAGCUCCUUCCCUUUGUUCCCAAGUUGGCAGCUGGGUGUUUCUGAGUCAUGGGCUGGCUCGGAAGUGGGUCCCGCAGUGGGCACGGACCCAGACCUUGGAUCCUAAGGAGACACAACAUUGCUAAGAGGCAGGUCAAAGAAGCUGUAGAGGACGGAGACAGGAAGACUUCUCAGAGGAGGGAAGACAUGGAGGAGGAGAGUAUGCUGCCAUCAACUCCAUGUUGGAUCAGAUCAACUCUUGUCUGGACCACCUGGAGGAGAAGAACGACCACCUCCAUGCCCGCCUCCAGGAGCUGCUGGAGUCCAAUCGGCAGACACGCCUGGAAUUCCAGCAACAGCUUGGGGAGGCCCCUGGUGAUGCCAGCCCCUAGGUGCCGGGAGCCCCCAACCAGGCCCCACCCUUACCUCUCUAGGCCAUGUUCUGGCCUGGCUAGAUACUACUUGGCUUAGACACCAUCUCAGGUACUGGCCUCCAGAUCCCCUGGUGGGUCUACCAGCCUGGACCAGUCCCCACUCACUGCCCAUCACUCUUCCUGGAGUCAGGUGCAGUCCUACAGUUCACCCACUUGUCUGCCUUCCCAGCUCCUGGUCUCUCUCCCCUCCACCCAGAUUGAGUGUCAUAUUAAAGAGGUCUCCCACACC